rnacentral:rRNA from 1 species
CAGUCGCCACGGGAAUACGUAGGUAGCAAGCGUUGUCCGGAAUUAUUGGGCGUAAAGGGCUCGCAGGCGGUUUCUUAAGUCUGAUGUGAGAGCCCCCGGCUCAACCGGGGAGGGUCAUUGGAAACUGGGAAACUUGAGUGCAGAAGAGGAGAGUGGAAUUCCACGUGUAGCGGUGAAAUGCGUAGAGAUGUGGAGGAACACCAGUGGCGAAGGCGACUCCCUGGUCUGUAACUGACGCUGAGGAGCGAAAACGUGGGGAGCGAACAGGAUUAGAUACCCCCGUAGUCCCUGUCUCUUAUAC